AAAUUGAAGAGUUUGAUCAUGGCUCAGAUUGAACGCUGGCGGCAGGCCUAACACAUGCAAGUCGAACGGUAACAGGAAGCAGCUUGCUGCUUCGCUGACGAGUGGCGGACGGGUGAGUAAUGUCUGGGAAACUGCCUGAUGGAGGGGGAUAACUACUGGAAACGGUAGCUAAUACCGCAUAACGUCGCAAGACCAAAGAGGGGGACCUUCGGGCCUCUUACCAUCGGAUGUGCCCAGAUGGGAUUAGCUAGUAGGUGGGGUAACGGCUCACCUAGGCGACGAUCCCUAGCUGGUCUGAGAGGAUGACCAGCCACACUGGAACUGAGACACGGUCCAGACUCCUACGGGAGGCAGCAGUGGGGAAUAUUGCACAAUGGGCGCAAGCCUGAUGCAGCCAUGCCGCGUGUAUGAAGAAGGCCUUCGGGUUGUAAAGUACUUUCAGCGGGGAGGAAGGCGGUGAGGUUAAUAACCUCAUCGAUUGACGUUACCCGCAGAAGAAGCACCGGCUAACUCCGUGCCAGCAGCCGCGGUAAUACGGAGGGUGCAAGCGUUAAUCGGAAUUACUGGGCGUAAAGCGCACGCAGGCGGUCUGUCAAGUCGGAUGUGAAAUCCCCGGGCUCAACCUGGGAACUGCAUUCGAAACUGGCAGGCUAGAGUCUUGUAGAGGGGGGUAGAAUUCCAGGUGUAGCGGUGAAAUGCGUAGAGAUCUGGAGGAAUACCGGUGGCGAAGGCGGCCCCCUGGACAAAGACUGACGCUCAGGUGCGAAAGCGUGGGGAGCAAACAGGAUUAGAUACCCUGGUAGUCCACGCCGUAAACGAUGUCGACUUGGAGGUUGUGCCCUUGAGGCGUGGCUUCCGGAGCUAACGCGUUAAGUCGACCGCCUGGGGAGUACGGCCGCAAGGUUAAAACUCAAAUGAAUUGACGGGGGCCCGCACAAGCGGUGGAGCAUGUGGUUUAAUUCGAUGCAACGCGAAGAACCUUACCUACUCUUGACAUCCAGAGAACUUUCCAGAGAUGGAUUGGUGCCUUCGGGAACUCUGAGACAGGUGCUGCAUGGCUGUCGUCAGCUCGUGUUGUGAAAUGUUGGGUUAAGUCCCGCAACGAGCGCAACCCUUAUCCUUUGUUGCCAGCGGUCCGGCCGGGAACUCAAAGGAGACUGCCAGUGAUAAACUGGAGGAAGGUGGGGAUGACGUCAAGUCAUCAUGGCCCUUACGAGUAGGGCUACACACGUGCUACAAUGGCGCAUACAAAGAGAAGCGACCUCGCGAGAGCAAGCGGACCUCAUAAAGUGCGUCGUAGUCCGGAUUGGAGUCUGCAACUCGACUCCAUGAAGUCGGAAUCGCUAGUAAUCGUGGAUCAGAAUGCCACGGUGAAUACGUUCCCGGGCCUUGUACACACCGCCCGUCACACCAUGGGAGUGGGUUGCAAAAGAAGUAGGUAGCUUAACCUUCGGGAGGGCGCUUACCACUUUGUGAUUCAUGACUGGGGUGAAGUCGUAACAAGGUAACCGUAGGGGAACCUGCGGUUGGAUCACCUCCUUA
rnacentral:rRNA from 1 species